rnacentral:ribozyme from 1 species
UUUUUUUUUUUUUUUUUUUUUUUUUUUUUUUUUUCCCUACCCGCGGUUCAUGCUACGAAAUCUGCGUCAUCUAGAU